UACAGAGGUCUCAAGCGUUGUUCGGAUUCAUUGGGCGUAAAGGGUGCGUAGGCGGUUCGUUAAGUUGGAUGUGAAAACUCUGGGCUCAACCCAGAGCCUGCAUCCAAAACUGGCGGGCUAGAGUUCUGGAGGGGGUAGCGGAAUUCCUGGUGUAGCGGUGAAAUGCGUAGAUAUCAGGAGGAACACCGGUGGCGAAGGCGGCUACCUGGACAGAAACUGACGCUGGAGGCAACGAAAGCUAGGGGAGCAAACAGG
rnacentral:rRNA from 1 species